rnacentral:rRNA from 1 species
UGGGGAAUAUUGCACAAUGGGCGCAAGCCUGAUGCAGCAACGCCGCGUGAGGGACGAAGGCCUUCGGGUCGUAAACCUCUUUUAGCAGGGAAGAAGCGAAAGUGACGGUACCUGCAGAAAAAGCACCGGCUAACUACGUGCCAGCAGCCGCGGUAAUACGUAGGGUGCGAGCGUUAUCCGGAAUUAUUGGGCGUAAAGAGCUCGUAGGCGGUUUGUCACGUCUGCUGUGAAAACUGGAGGCUCAACCUUCAGCCUGCAGUGGGUACGGGCAGACUAGAGUGCGGUAGGGGAGAUUGGAAUUCCUGGUGUAGCGGUGGAAUGCGCAGAUAUCAGGAGGAACACCGAUGGCGAAGGCAGAUCUCUGGGCCGUUACUGACGAUGAGGAGCGAAAGCGUGGGGAGCGAACAGG